rnacentral:rRNA from 1 species
AACGCGAAGAACCUUACCCGGGCUUGACAUCCUGCGCUCAUCUAGGAGACUAGGUUUCCCCGCAAGGGGACGCAGAGACAGGUGCUGCAUGGCUGUCGUCAGCUCGUGCCGUGAGGUGUUGGGUUAAGUCCCGCAACGAGCGCAACCCUUGUCGUGUGUUGGUCGUAAGAUCUCUCACACGAGACCGCCGGUGACAAGCCGGAGGAAGGUGGGGAUGACGUCAAGUCAGCAUGGCCCUUACGUCCGGGGCUACACACGUGCUACAAUGGGAAGGACAGCGAGUCGCUAACCCGCGAGGGUAUGCUAAAUCUCUUAAAACCUUUCCUCAGUUCGGAUUGGAGGCUGCAACUCGCCUCCAUGAAGUCGGAAUCGCUAGUAACCGCAGAUCAGCUACGCUGCGGUGAAAUACGUUCCCGGGCCUUGUACACACCGUAGAGAC